rnacentral:lncRNA from 1 species
AAACUAGCAUAGCUCAAAUAAAUGUCCUCUUUUUCCAAAGAUUAUUAAAGAGAGUUUUCUUUUUCUUUAACCCAGCUAUUCAAAUACUCUAUUAGACCAGGACCUGUAAUAAUACAGGCCUUGUCCAGAAGGGAUCAGGUUUCUAUGUUAUAUAAUUAGGCAAGACUUUAAAUAGUAAGACAUGCACCUGUGGUGCUUUUGUCUCUAACUCCACAAAUUUCAACAUGCAUACAAAUCAAGAAGGGGUGGGGGUGUUACAUGCAAAUUCUGCUUCAGUGGGUGUUGGAGCCUGAGAUUCUGGCUUUCUAACAAGCUCCCAGUAGAGAUGGGGUUUCACCAUGUUGCCCAGGCUGGUCUCAAACUCCUGAGCUCAGGCCAUCUGCCCGCCUCGGCCUCCCAAAGUGCUAGGAUUACAGAAGGUGCCUGCUUCCCCUUCACCUUCCACCAUGAUUGUAAGUUUCCUGAGGCCUCCCCAGACAUGUGGAACUAACAGGUUUCUCUUAUUGCCUGGAUCCAAGAGCAUCUCCUGGGUUCUUCCUGUUAGAAUACUGAAUGUCCAUGGAGAGUUUAACAUAAGGAAGAAGAGGCCUGUCUCCCAGCUGAAACUGGUGCAGCAGAUCAUGCAAAGUAAAACCUCAGCAGCUGUGAUGAAGUAGAGCAGAGGGCCUGGGUGUCUGUCAGCUCCAAGCGGAAGAUUUCCCCAGCUUUCUAGAUUUCUGACUUCAUAUCUGUGGGAUCCACACAAUGGGGAGGUACUGGCCUUGGAAUCCAUGGUUCCCCAGCUAUCAUUUUACUUUAGAAUUACAGUGUUCUCUGUUAGUGUCAAGGGAAUGAACCUGACGAGAAAAGACCAAACAUAGGACUGUUACAGGGAAGAAAAAUAUGAAAAGACCUAAAGAUGCACGUCCUCAUUAUAUGUAAGGAAUCUAUUUCCUAGAAUCCUAUAAAAAGCUCAAGUGAAUUUGCUUCAGUUAAUAAAUGUGAUUUAAUUAUAAUGAUAAUGCCACA